rnacentral:rRNA from 1 species
UACGUAGGGCGCAAGCGUUGUCCGGAAUUAUUGGGCGUAAAGAGCUCGUAGGCGGUUUGUCGCGUCUGCUGUGAAAACUCGAGGCUCAACCUCGGGCUUGCAGUGGGUACGGGCAGACUAGGGUGCGGUAGGGGUGACUGGAAUUCCUGGUGUAGCGGUGGAAUGCGCAGAUAUCAGGAGGAACACCGAUGGCGAAGGCAGGUCACUGGGCCGCAACUGACGCUGAGGAGCGAAAGCCAGGGGAGCAAACGGG